GGAACCAGCAGCUUUGGACCUUAUUGAUUGUCUGCAGUUACCAUCAGAACAAAAGAACAUACAUAGAUUCUGCCUAGGAGAAAUGAACAAUGCUCUUCUUUAUAAUCAGCAAUGUUUUCACCAUGACCCACCCCCCAAAAUACUAUUUUCAGAAACUGUACUCUAAAGUGAUGACAGAGUGCACAGGAAUAGCAUUUGUAUUAUAACAACAUUAAUAUAAAAGCAAUAUAUCUGUGUAAGAAGCAAAAUUAAAUACAAGUGUUUUUAAAAUGCUUCUUUUGGUGUAUUUAAGGUGGCUAGCCUAAGAGACUAACUCCUUAGUUAAUAAUGAAGAGAGUGGUUUAUAUUUGUAACUUUUUUCUUAUGCAUAGAAAUCUAUACAUUAGCUACUUAAGUAAAUCCUUUAUGUUUUCACACAACUACAGCUGAGAAUAUGUAAUGUAUGGCUAUAAUCAUGCUUGAGGCCUAGAAAUAAAAUCAUUUGCCAUCUUCUUUAUUUGACCCUAUUAGAUUUUAUACUGAUUUAAGAAGAAUGCUGCAUUAUACUUAGUAUUUAUUGCCAGAGUUUUCUUUAGUCUUUUUAACCAGACAACAUGCUUUGUAUGUCUUAUUAUAAGACAUUAUCUUGUUAUAAGAGUUCGAGUUAUCAUAAUUAGCAGAAAUAUAAUACCUUUUAAUUUUUGCAUUUUACUUGGCAUAUAUCAUGGACAUAUGUGUGAUAAAUUAGUAAACACCACCUAUGAAGUCAGGCUGUUCUAGUUCAUCUAUCAGCUGAAUCUGAACUGCAGACUUUUAUGAGAAUUUUAGUUUUAUAUGAGGUAACUAUUCCAACUAUAUCAUGUCACAUUUGAAUAUUAUUAGCCAUUGCCAUAUCAAAUGUGCUUUUUUGAGAGCAGAAUUAUACAUUAAAUCUAUUUUUAAAUUUUACAAUAAUGUUGCAGAUAAUAAGAUUCAAAAUGGAGAUGAGAGAUUUUCCAUAAUAGGAGAAACAAAAUGAUUUCAUUCUUUAAACUCUAUUGCUUUACAGGGGUACUAUAAAUUAUAUAUAUCUUCACAUUUUUAAAAUAAAUUUCUGAAUGUGUUUUAGAAUACUGUAAUAGAGUCUUUGUUCACCUUUGUAUUGGACUUGUUAGAAUUACUUAUGAUUUGAAGUAUCACAGAAUAUAAAUCAUCCACGAGUUAUAGUUCCUAAAAAAUUGAUGUUACAAUAUCAUAAACAUAUUCCUCACUUAUGAAGGCACAUAGAAUGUGUCUAAGCAUAUAUCCACCCUGUAUCUAUUCAGAUUCUUUACUUAUAUCACCUGUUUCAUUUAUCUGAAAUUUUAAGUGUGUGUAUGUGUGUGUGUAUAAACAAAUGUUUUAAAACUUCAAAUGAAUGGAGAUAAUAUAAACCAUAAAGUUUUGGGUAGUAUUUAUUUUUUACUUCUUUUAACCUUAUUCUCAUUGUAAUCAAGCAUUUUUAAAAGCAUAAGUUUCUCAAUACAAAGAACUCUAUGUAUAUGUAGCUACAAGUACACAGAAACUUGAUUAUAUUUAAUAGCCACGUUUACACAGUGUAUCAGAAACUACCUCUUAUAUAAAACAAUAUCACAUACAGGUAUAUGUUUACAGACACCUGUAUGUAUAAGAUGUUCCAUCAAUUUAGUUCCAAAAUAAUGUAAGGGAUAUAUGUUUGUUGGCUAUAGUGAUAUCAAAUAUAACUAUUUCAAAUGCAAGAUUUUUUUAUGUCAUCAUAUUUAUGAACCACAAUAUAUAUUAACUUCUGUUUCAUAGUCGGAAGAUACCAAAGCUAGAUUUAAAAUGCAAUUGUGUUUAUUUUCCCCAAAAACAUAUAAAAUGUAUAUAUUUUUACUAAUCGUCAUACAUUCUCUGAACCCUCUGUAUGUAACCUUCCGAUCUAUGAACUAUCUUUUCUGAGAGCGUCAUUGAUAAAGCUUUUCUCUUACUCCAUAAAGGUGAGUAGAGCUAUAAGUGGGUAACUUUGUUUAUAUAAAUUACUUUAUGCUGUAUAUGGAUAGAUGGAUGCCACUUUUUUUCUGCAUUUCUAUCUUAGCUGUCACAGGAUAAUAUUGUUUGGGGGCUGUAUAAUAUGAUUUGGAAAAUCAGAUCAUGCUAAGCUUAAAAUAAAAGGAAGGAUCUGCAACAAAGAGCAAGAAAAUGAUGUGUUGCAUACAAAAAAAAGCAGUGAUAUUAACAAUUCGAUGGCUUCCUGGUUAGGAGACCAGCCUGAGCCAGACGCAUAUAUUAAAGGCUGUCUGCUGCCGAUGCGAGCUUGCUCAAUGCGGUGGAAAUGAGGAAUCACCUCCUCUCUGACACCAGCUUAUUUUUACAUUUUAAUUCUGAAAUAGAGAAUCACUGUUUUACAUAAAUAUACUAACCCCUGCUUGAUUCUUUUCCUUUCUCACAUUGUUUGCUAAUUUACUGUGAGCUUCAGGUUCUAUUUUUUUAAAUAUCAUCACUCACCUUAAACAUCUAUCAAAUACCAAUGAAGUAGUAGUUUUUCUUUUGUCUCUUUUAUAUUGCUCUGUUAAUAUUGUUAUACUCAUGCUUUUAACUUUUAAUCUCUGUAAGGAAAACAGCAGUUUUUCAAAAUGACAUUUUUUAAAGCCAUUUAAGGUCCAUCAAGGAAGGCACUGCUGGAAUUUUGCCAAAUCUAAAUAUGAUUAUAUUUCAUUUCAGUGCUCAUGGGGUCAACAUCUUUCUGAGUAUAGAAGUCCUUAACACUUUAGUGUUCCAGUGAAGCUGCAGAUGAGGUGUAGAGAGAUUCUCAAGUCAUUUAAGUAUUAGGCUACAUAAAUAAUGUCAAGGAAGAGGUAUAGGUAUCUCAGGGGAAUUAUAGUACAGGUUAAUUACUAAUGAAAUCAUAAAAGGUAUAUACUAUCUUAAAUUUCUUACGUUCAAAUGGACAUGCUGGUACGUGUGCCUAGGCUCAGUUUAAUUCACCUGAUAAAUAUUUAAAUGGUUUUGCAAGUUGUCAUGUUUGGAUGAGUUUCGAGAAAAGCAGUACGUAAAGGGUUAGCUAACGCCCGAAUUUUCUUGCCAUUUACACAUGCAGAGCAUAGCCUACAUUUCGGUAGGCAACGAAUGCAGUCAUCCUUUUGAUUACUUGGAUUCUUUUGUCAAAUUUCUUACUAGACAUUUAACUUAGCACUCAGGUCCCACUGAUCCUUUAGUGACUGUAUUUGGAAAAGGAAAACAAAGUUCCUAAUAUAGAGAAGUUUUCAAAUAUCCUGAAUGUUUGUAAGCAAUAUGAAAAACAGACUUGUUAGUGCAGCUUUGCAAAUACAUAGUUAGUAUGUAGAAACUUAGGUGCUAUCAUUAUCUGUCAUCUCCAUCUCCGUAUUUAGUUUUUUUAUCUAUCAGUAACCAACUAUACUCUGAGGCAUUAUAUGUAUAUAUAUUAAUAUAUGUUAACAUAUGUACUUAAUAUAUAUCAAUAUAUACACAUGAAUAUAUAAAUUAAUAUAUACGUUUUAUAUAUUUACAUAUUAUAUAUAUAUAUCUUAAUUUUUUUAAACCCUUGGUAAAAAUAGUAUGAAAAGUGAGACUUUGUCAUAAACUUAUCCACAUUUUUUCAAUAAAUUAGCUUCUAUUUUCAUUGAAUGUUGCUUUUUCCCCAGCUUUAUCAGAUGGAGUGUAUUACUAGCCAAUAAUAUUAACUUGUAUGUAAUGUCUUACUUGUGGAAGUUUGAAAGCAGAUAGAACUUCUUAAACAUCUUUAUUGGAGUAUAAUUGCUUUAAAAUGGUGUGCUAGUUUCUGCUUUAUAACAAAGUGAAUCAGCUAUACAUAUACAUAUAUCCCCAUAUCUCCUCCCUCUUGCGUCUCCCUCCCACCCUCCCUAUCCCACCCCUCUAGGUGGACACAGAGUGCCAAGCUGAUCUCCCUGUGCUAUGUGGCUGCUUCCCUCUAGCUAUCUCUUUUACAUUUGGUAGUGUAUAUAUGUCCAUGCCACUCUCUCACUUCAUCCCAGCUUACCCUUCCCCCUCCCCAUGUCCUCAAGUCCAUUCUCUACAUCUGAGUCUUUAUUCCUGUCAAAAGCAGGUAGAACUUGAAGGUAACUGAGAUUAAGUGAAUUUGAGAUUAAAUAGUGUUAUAUAAUCAAUCAGCUGAUUCCAUGCAUAUUUUAUGAAGAAUUUAAAAGUGAAAAACUUUCAUAUGGUGAAAUAAAUUUUUCCUUGUAUCUGAUGUAAGAAAUGUGAUUUUUAAGAGUGUUACUUUAAUAAUUAAUUCCUGAACAAAUAAAAACUAGCGUAAAAAUAAUCAUGGGCUAUAUCUGUUAGGUCAACUAAAUAAGAAUCGUAACUCCUAGGUUUCAUCUCGGCCUUUUAAGGUUUCUGGGGUGCUUUGGGUUCUUUUACGUAGGUGGAUUUAACCAUUCCCCUUUUCUAAGAAGUUUCUUCCUCUCUGUUGGUAGGUGUCUGAUGAUUUGUGGGCACCAAAUGGCUAUUCUGUGGAGUCAUCUCUCCUUGCCUUUGAAUUAGUUUUCCCUUGGCCAUGAGUCAACAUCAAUAUUUUAUACAUCCAAAUUGGGUGUGCUCUAGUGAGGUCCGCCAAGUACACUGACGAAGAUCGCCCAAAUAUAUACAUGAGACAAAGAGAUGAUGUAUUUUUUUCAGCACUUAGAUGCAUCAUAAAAUGGAAACCCUCUUCCUACUUUGGAAGAAAUUUACUCAACUUGAUUACAAGUUGUAAAGAGG